GUGAGGAAACCGAAGGCCUGAGGGAGAAAUGACUUGCCAGGAACCCCUGUUAAGGAAAAUUAACAAAGUGUGGUUAUUAAAGAAGAACUGAGUUGGGAGUCAGACCUGGAGGCCCCCACCCUUAGGUAAGACAUUAUACCACCUUGAGUCUGGCCUGUUGACUGAGGGUGAGCCACUCCAUCCUCAUGUGAUUGUGGGGUCUUAACCUCAAGGGGUUUCCUGCAGGAAGAAGCAAAUGGGUUUGCUUUCCUAGCUCUGUCCAGUACGUUAGGGACCCUGAGGACUGAAGGGAUUCUUGGAGAGCCAUCUGGUGUAUGUCAUGGGUGGGUCUUUUUUGAAGGUCAGUCUGCCCAGUGGGCUGGCUCAGCCCGAAUGAACUGUCUUGAAUCUUUGGAGUUGUCUGUGUACUUUUAAGGGCUUCUCAGCUGUGCCCCAAAAGAUCCCCCUGGAAAUUAGGUGGGAAAAACCUUAACUUUUGUGGGGCCCUGUGUUUGUCUUAAAAGUUCAUGCACAUAGCCAGGUGUGGUGGCUCCCACCUGUUAUCCUUUCCUGGAUCCCUUGAGUCAAGGAGUUUGAGACCAACCCGGACAAUAUAGUGAGACCCCAUCUCUACAAAAAAGAAAAUAUUAGCCAGGGGUGGUUGUGCGCAUCUGUAGUCCCAGCUACUACUGUGGCUGAGGCGGGAGGAGCACUUGAUCCUGCACUGAGCUGUGAUCUCACCAGUGUACUCCAGCCUGGGCCACAGAGCAAGACCGUGACUCAAAAAAAAAAAAAGACAAGAAAAAUUCUUCAACAUUUUGCAUUCUGUCCCACUAUCCAUUGGUUUUCAUGUCAAGAUUAUGUCAGAAAUUCUUUACAAUUGCUUCCAGAAGGAGUAGCCUUUUGAUCUAGUGCACAGGUGUCCAGUCUUUUGGCUUCUCAGGGCCACAUUGGAAGAAGAAUGCUCCUGGGCUGCACAUAAAAUACACUAAUGCUAACAACAGCUGAUGAGGUUAAAAAAAAAAAAAAGGUUUGUGCAUAAUUUUCAUGCUACCCACCACCACAGAUAGGUGGAAAAGUCCUUGUAGUCAAAGGGUUGGACACGGCUGAUCUAGUGUCUUGUCGUCAGUUUUGGCUUUCUCCCUGAUUCCAGAAUGCAGGUAGAGAUAACAUGGUCUCAGGACAGCUGUUGAGAUAAAAAAAUUCGUUGUCAUUUAUUCCCAAGCACAGCUGUUUCUCAUUGCAUUGAAAAAGUCUCCAUUCAAACUGCUGUCACAUAUAAAAUCUACUUAUGUAAGUCUGUAUAUUUCUGUUGUCUUGGCCUUUGUAGGCAGUAGUGUGUUUUAACCGAGCAAACUGUCCUUCCAAAUAAUGAAGCCGAAGUCAGCCUACCUACUUUCCAUUUUUCUUCCCCUUCCAUUUUUGUAACCUCAGAAUAAUUGUAAGAAUGAAUUAAGAUUUGUGUUUAAGGCCAGACACAGUGUCUCAGGCCUGCAUUCUCAGCACUUUGGGAGGCGGAGACAGCUGUAUCGCUUGAGCUCAGGAGUUGAAGACCAGCCUGGGCAACAUACUGAGACUCGGUCUUGUAUAAUUUAAUUAAAAUUGAAAAAAAGAAGAUAAAAAGACCUGUGUUUAAAAUUUUUAAAAAAGGGGGGAAAGUGUAAUGCAAAAUGUGGACUAUGCCAGCUAUGAUUGGGAAAACUAGUUUUUCAUACAGCAUUAUCUGUAGACUUGUAUUAGCAGCAUACUGGUCAUAUGCGUUUUGCUUUCCUCAAAUAUGAUGAGGUAAGCUAAUUUAAAGUGUGUUGGGGCUUUCUGCCGCGUGGCUUCUGGAGGUGUUGAGUCCCAAUUUAGCCAAUUAAUUUGGGUUUAGUUUUGACAUGGAUAAGGGAGACCAGCUUCAUUCAUGGUGUACACACAGUUUUGCCAAUAAGGAAAAAGAAAAGCCACCUGAAUGUUCCUACUCAUUAAAUGCUAUCUGGAGAGCUCCUACCCCACCCCCACCAAGGCCCGGGCCAUUAAAAAGACUCAAUGCAGCCUUUCUGGAUCUCAUACUGUAUUCUGCAAGAUACUCCUGUGAAAGAAAAUUGUGCUGCAUCAGCCAUCUCCCUCCUGAAGAUCCCUGCGGAUGAGGAUUUGUGUUUUGAAAGUUCUGAGAAUUCCUGCAACAACAAUUCUCAAACUUAUUUGUCCAGGGGAUCUUUUCUUCCACUGAAUGUAGUUGGGGAGACACGGCCUUAAGCCUUGAGCAGAGAAAGAGACAAAAAACUGUUGGCUCACUUACAACCAAGUGUUGUGUUUAUGUUUUAGGUUUUUAUGAAACUGAGGUGCUGUUUGAGGUUCUAAAUGAAAUUGGGUGGUUGAAGAGAGGCUGGUAUCCGUGUAGACUUAACCAGCCAUGAGAAGUUGCCUUUUGUUGAAGGAGGUGUUUUACAAAGGGAAAUAGGGUGUUUCCUGGGCAUCGCAUUAGCAAUUAAAUACAUGUAUCAGUGAAAUGAAAUGAAAUGAUGAGAUGAUGAAAUGAAAUGAUGAAAUGAUGAAAUGAAAUGAUGAAAUGAAGAAAUGAAAUGAGAUGAAAUGAUGAAAUGAAAUGGAAUGAUGAAAAAUGAUGAAAUGAUGACAUAAAAUGGUGAAAUGAAAUGAAAUAAUGAAAUGAAAUAAUGAACUGAAAUGAAAUGAAAUGAUAAAAUGAUGAAAUGAAAUGAAAAGAUGAAAUGAUGAAUUGAGGAAAUGAUAUGAAAUGAUGAAAUGAAAUGAUGAAAUGAAGUGAAGGAAGAAAUGAUGAAAAAAUGAAAUUAAAUGAUGAACUAAUGAAAUGAUGAGAUGAAAAGGUGAAAUGAAAUGAAAUGAUUAAAUGAAAUGAGAUGAAAAGAUGAAAUGAAAUGAUGAGAUGAAAUGAAAUGAUGUGAUGAAAUGAUGAGAUGAAGUGAAAUGAUGAAAUGAGAUGAAAUGAAAUAAAGCAAUGAAGGAUGAUAUGAUGAGAUGAAGUGAAAUGAUGAAAUGUAAUGAAAUGAUGAAAUGUAAUGAAAUGAUGAAAUGGAAUGAUGAAAUGAAAUGAUGAGAUGAAAUUGUGAAAUGAAAUGAGGAAAUGAAAUGGAAUGAUGAAAUGAUGAAAUGAAAAGAUCAAAUGGUGAAAUGAAGAAAUGACAUGAAAUGAUGAAAUGAAAUGAAAUGAUGAAAUGAAGUGAAAUGAUUAAAUGAUGAAAUAAUGAAAUGAAAUGUAAUGAUGAAAUGAUGAAUUGAUGAAAUGAUCAAAUGAAAUGACGAGAUGAAAAGAUGAAAUGAAAUGAAAUGAUGAAAUGAGAUGAAAAGAUGAGAUGAAAUGAUGAAAUCAUGAGAUGAUGAAAUGAUGAGUUGAAGUGAAAUGAUGAUGAGAUGAUGAAAUGCAACAAUGAGAAGAAAUGAUGAAAUGAAAUAAUGAAAGGAUGAAAUGAUGAGAUGAAAUGAUGAAAGGAUGAAAUGAAAUGAUGAAAUGAAAUGAAAUGAUGGAAUGAAAUGAUGAAGUGAUAUGAAAUGAUGACAUGAAGUCAAAUGAUGAAAUAAAUGAAAUGAUGAAAUGAAAUGAGAUGAAAUGAAAUCAUGAGAUGAAAUGAUGAAAUGAGAUGUAGUGAAAUGACGAAAUGAAAUAUUGAGAUGAAGUGAUGAAAUGAAAUGAAACAAUGAAAUGAAGUGAAAUGAAAUGAGAUGAAAUGAAAUGAUGAAAUGAAAUGAUGAAGUGAAAUGAUGAAAUGAAAAGAUCAAAUGGUGAAAUGAAGAAAUGAUAUGAAAAGAUGAAAUGAAGUGAUGAAAUGAAGUUAAAUGAUUAAAUGAUGAAAUAAAUGAAAUGAUGAAAUGAUGAAUUGAUGAAAUGAUCAAAUGAAAUGAGAUGAAAAGAUGAAAUGAAAUGAUGAAAUGACGAGAUGAAAAGAUAAAAUGAGAUGAAAUGAUGGGAUGAAAUGAAAUCGUGAGAUGAAGAAAUGAUGAGAUGAAAUGAUAAAAUGAUGGAAUGACGAAAUGCAACAAUAAGAAGAAAUUAUGAAAUGAAAUAAUGAAAUGAAAGGAUGAAAUGAGAUGAAAUGAUGAAAGGAUGAAAUGAAAUGAGGAAAUGAAAUGAAGUGAAAUGAUGGAAUGAAAAGAUGAAAUGAUGAAAUGAUAUGAAAUGAUGACAUGAAGUCAAAUGAUGCAAUGAUGAAAUAAAUGAAAUGAAAUGGUGAAAUGAAAUGAGAUGAAAUGAUGAGAUGAAAAGAUGAAAUGAUGAGAGGAAAUGAAAUGAGACGAAAUGAGAUGAAAUCAUGAGAUGAAAUGAUGAAAUGAGAUAAAGUGAAAUGACGAAAUGAAAUGUUGAGAUGAAGUGAUGAAAUGAAAUGAUGAAAUGAAAUGAAACAAUGAAAUGAAGUGAAAUGAAAUGAGGUGAAAUGAUGAAUUGAUGAAAUGAGAUGAAAAGAUGAAAUGAAAUAAUGAAAUGAUGAGAUCAAAAGAUGAAAUGAGAUGAAAUGAAAUGAGAUGAAAUGAAAUGAUGAGAUGAAAUGAAAUGAUGAGAUGAAAUGAUGAAAUGAUGAGAUGAAGUGAAAUGAUGAAAUGAAAUGAAAGAAUGAAAUGAAAUGAUAAAAUGAGAUGAAAUGAUGAAAUGAAAGGAUGAAAUGAGGAAAUGAAAUGAAAUGAUGAAAAGAAAUGAAAUAAUGAAAUGAAAUGAUGUAAUAGAUGAACCAAAAAUACUUAUUCACUUUUUUUCUUGGCAUCCUUCUUAGAGUAUUUUAGUGAGGUUAAUUUCUAAAAAUAAAUUGCUAUUCAAUGGCUAUACAGUUGGCCUUUGCACCACAGGGGUUUGAACUGUGCACGUCCACUUAGCAAAACCAACAAUUCUUCAUCCUUAUCCACACCCUGCCCAUGAAAAGGAUGAGGAUGAAGACCUGUUUGAUCAUCUACUUCCAUUUAAUAACUAGUAAAUCUAUUUUCCUUAUGAUUUUCUUUUUUCUUUUCUCUGGCAUGUUUGUUAAGAAUACAGUAUAUAAGACAUAUAACAUAUUAAAUAUGUGUUAAUUGUGUUAUUUGUAAGGCUUACAGUAGGCUAUUAGUAGUUAAGUUUUGGGGGAGUCAAAGUUAUAGUGGAUUUUCUACUGUGCAGGGGGCAAGCACCCCAACCUCCGUGUUGCUUAAGGGUCAACUGUACAUGUUAUUUCCUUUCCUGUAAGAGAAAAAUGAUGAGAAGGUCUUUUCUCCAAUAAGUGUCUUCAAAAUUUAGCAGAUGUGAAAUGUGUUGGCGCCACCAUUUUGCGUCUCACUUUGAAAACUUAUUAUUUAAAAUCGUACUAAAGCCUACCUUACUUUUCCAACCUUAGAAAAAAUGUUCCAAAGAAAAGGGGUGAAACCAUGCUAGUUUGCCCUGAAAUUUGAAAUUAUCUUUUAAAAAUAUAUUUUGACAUUAAUUACUUCCAAACUAGAGAUCAGUUGCAUACAAAUGGCAGGUCACCCUAAUCCACCCUAUGACUGCACUUAGAUUCAUGAGGGAUUGUGCCAUCUAGAAAGGGCAGAGAGGAGGAAUAGAGUGCUCUGCGUCUUGAAAUAUAAACAUGCACAUAGCCACAUGCUUUGAUUCUGUUGUCACUGUGUACUUACUGCUAGGAAGAGGGCAUGUUUGUGUAUUUUUAUGCAAAUUAUUAUCCAAGUUGUUAAUGAUUUACGCUUUCAGAACCAUAUAAAGAUUCUUUUCCUUUCAGAUAUAAACUAUCUUGCAUUGUUCUUCUGAUCAUAUGAGGGAUAAAUUUGCCUAAAUAUUCUUCAGACCAUAAUAGUAUGUCCAUAUAAAUGCCAGUAGCAAGAGUAGAAUCAACCACAACUGCCUUAGUAAUUAUUUAAAGCAUGUCUGCCUAUAAGUAAUUGGCAUUUUAUAUAAUCAAGAAUCUUUGAUAUAAUAAUCUCUCAACUAUUUGAAACACGGCUCAUAUGUAUUAAUUUUUUAAGCAAAUAUAUAUAUAAUAUCAGUGUAUAUGAAACUAAAUUUUGGACUUUAGAACAGCUUCUUAGAAUCCUGACUUAAAUGUCUACAGUAAUAGUUGGCUUAAAAAAAUUUAGCACACUGUCACUAUGAUGAAAAAAAUUACUAUAAAAUAUUUAAAAAUUUUUUCCACCCUAACAUUUAGAAUAUUCUCACAUUUGUGGUUAAAACCUAUUGUGAUUGUUCUUAGAAGUUAGAUAAAAAAUGUUCCAGAAAGAUUGAAGAGAAGCACUUUAGUCAAUUUUUAGUUGUUGAAGCAUGAAGAAAUGGCAUUUCAUUGACAUUUUAAAAAUUAUUCAGAUUCCCUCUUUGAAUUCAAGAGUUUCAAAGAUAUCUUAUUUUAAAAUACCAAAAUAGGAAUAGAAUAUGAAGGGCUGGUUAUGAGUAAUAUGAUACAAUUUUAUGAGAUGACGAGAUUACAAUAACAAUACCUCCUCUCAUAGAAUAGCCAGCAAGUCUCCACUAAAUAACAGUGCCUUGAUUUUAUAGAUGUUUAAUCAUGGAUAUUGAAUUAAUGUGAACCAUUUGUAGACACAGGAGUUUAUUAAAGACUUAUAUAAUAUCUUUCAAGUAUUUAGAAUAGUGUUGAAAUUAAGCCUGCAUCCCCACGAUUUUCAGCGGUGCUGAUGCCUAAUAAACUCAACCCCUUGCAUGCCAAAAUUGGCUUAAAGCCCAUCUGUUACCCAAGCUACACUUCAAGCAUCAAGGUUCAAAAAUGUGAUUUUGAAUAUGCAAGAGUUUGAGGAAUUCACUACUCACACUUUCUUGAACAGUCUAUCCAAGUGCAUCAAGCAAAAUGUGAGUAAAGAAAUUUUGACCAAAGGAUUGAUAGUAAUGUUGAAUACAUUUAAUAGUAGAUCUAAGAUUAAAAGGUGAAAGUGAAGGUGAGAAGAGUGUAUGAAUGCUUUGUGUUCUGACAAAGAGAAUGUAGCACCCAGGUCCUACCUGCUUGGAUGCAUUGCCAGUGCCCACGGUAGGCCAUUUUAUCCAGGUUUUUAGGUUUUGUCUUGUUUUGUUUGGUUUUUUCCUUUUAAGGAGUGUUAGUCCAAGACCAAUAACUCUGUAACUGGUAGAUUUGGAAGACUUUAAUAGUGCUUAACAUUUUGUACAUAGCUUUAUAACAGUUUUCUUUUUCUUUUUUUCUGAGAGAUUCUUUUCAAUAUACCCCUUCAUGGUUGAACUCAAAAAUCAUUGCUUAUUUAAAAACUACAACUGCUGACGUUUUGUAACGUUCGCAUUCCAGGUAAUUGCUUUUUUGUGCAUUUUCUGUAUUUUUCUCCAUCAGUCUCCCUAGAUAUUUGUUAGAUUUAAUAUUUUAAUAUUUUUCUGAAGAAGUGAGCUUUUGUAUUUUUAAAUAUAUACCCAGUUGCUUUAAUUCUUCUUUUUCGUGUACUAUUUCCUCGUUGUUUUUUUUUUUUUUUUUUUUUUUUGACACGGAGUCUUGCUCUGUUGCCCAAGCUGGAGUGCAGUCGCGUGAUCUCUACUCACUGCAACUUCCACCCCCCACGUUCAAGCAAUUCUCCCACCUCAGCCUCCCGAGUAGCUGGGAUUACAGAUGCAUGCCACCAUGCCAGGCUAAUUUUUGUAUAUUUAGUAGAGAGUGGGUUUCACCAUGUUAGACCAGGCUGGUCUCGAACUCCUGACCUCAGGUGAUCCACCUGCCUCGGCCUCCCAAAGUGCUGGGAUUACAGGCGUGAACAAUGGCGCCUGGCUAUCUCCUUCAUUCUUUAUGUUUAUUUUACUGGUUUUAUCUCUCUCUCUCUCUCUGUUUCUCUCCUUCUCACAUUCACUUUGCAGUUGUCAAAUAGCCCAGGUGAUGUUACAGAUUUACUCCUUAUAAAAGGAGGCAUUACACAUUACACAUGCAUCUUAGUGGCCUUACAAAAGUGUUUGGUUUAUUUGUAUUGACUAUUCACCUUUAAAAUAUUUCAAUAUUCAUUAAAAUAGCUUCCAACCAAUAUUAUUACACUUAUGUUUCUAACUUUCAUUUUUGUAUUGAUAUCUGCCUUCAUUUCUGUUUGUUUAGGAAAUAUAUUCUGUGUCACGUUAUUUCCGUGAAAAUUGUUUGAAUUUGUGGUAUGGUCUAGAAAAUGUUAAUUUUUGUAUGUAUUCUGUAUGAACAUGAAAAUAACAUGAAUUAUAAUAUUCAUGUUCCUUAUAUAAUAUUUGCCCUUUUUAAAAUCCACUAGCUUCUUUUGAAACUUACUCUUUAAUUUUUUCUUUUAUCUAUUGCUGAAAGACGUGUGUUUGAAAUGUCUAUAAUAUUUGGGGGCUUAUCCAUUUCUACUUACUUUCUGAUAUUUUUGCUUUAUAUAAUUUGACUCUCUCUCUAAAUACGUGUGUGUCUGUGUGUGUGAGAGUGUGUGGUUUGUGUGUCUAUAUAUAUGUAUGUAUCAGGCUAAUGCACAUUUAAGUCAUCACAUCUUCUUAAUAACUUAAAACUUUUAUCACACUGGUUAGACUAACUUAUUUUAAUAAAUGUUUCUAACUUACAUUCUAUUUUGUCUACAUAGCAACUUUUUAAAAAAUUAUAUUCAUGUAGUAUGUUUGUAUGUAUAUCAUAUAUACACAGUAUCUGUAUUGUUUGAACUUCAAAGUUUCUGUAAAUUUAUAUAUUAGUUGUGUCUCUUAUAACUAUGAUAGAGACGGAUGUUUUAAAUUUUGCCAAUCUUUGUAUUUUAACAAAAACAUUGUCUACUUAGGUUUAAGUUAAUCUUUGAUCAUUUAUACUUAAUUUUGUAUUAUUAAUUUGUUGUGUAUAUAUAUAUAUAUAUAAUGUCUCAUUUUCUCCUAUCACUUUCUGUCUUCUUGUUUUAAAAUUAUGACUUUUAUUUUUAUUGUUUUCAUAGAUACAACAGAGAAAUGCAUAAUGUCCAGUCAAUUUAUUAAAGUUCCAAAGUCGGUCGCGCGCAGUGGCUCACGCCUGUAAUCUCAACACUUCGGGAGGCCGAGACGUGUGGAUCACGAGGUCAGGAGUUGGAGACUAGCCUGACCAACAUGGUGAAACCCCGUCUCUACUAAAAAUACAAAAAUUAGCCAGGCAUGGUGGCACGCGGCUGUAAUCCCCGCUACUCAGGAGGCUGAGGCAGGAGAAUUGCUUGAACCUGGGAGGCAGAGGUUGCAGUGAGCAGAGAUGACGCCACCGCACUCCAGCCUGGGAGAAAGAGUGAAUGAGACUCCUUCUCAAAAAAAAAAAAAAAAAAAAAAAAAAAAAAAAAGUUGCAAAGUCAUACCUUUCUGCUCUUGUCAGACAAUUAAGGGGUCUUUGAAUACUUCAGCUCUAAUAAUUUCCUUCCUAACAUACAUAUUGCAGUGCUUAUCUAAUUUUAAAUAUCCUUUUGUUUCAACACCUAAUUUUCUAUUUUGAUCUAUCUGUAUGUUUACAAUAUAUUUUGCUCUGUGUUCAUUCUUUGAUUUCAGAACUUCAAUCUUUCUGAAGCGUGUUUUCAGUUUCGUUUGAGUUUCUUUAGUGGAAUUCUGCUGGUGGUGUUUUGUUUUUUGUCUCUAAAUAUGUUAUUUAGCCAUAGGUUGAUGAAUGUUUUUCUUGGUUGAGAAUUUCAGAAUGGCAUUAUUAUUCUUAACAAAUAAUAUUGUUUAUUUUACCUUUCAUGCUUUCAGAUUUCAAUAUGAUUAAAGGUAAUUUGAUUUUUCUAGUGCUAAUUGAAAUAUUUUUCCCUUCCUGAUUGUUUACUAUUUCUCUAGGAGAUAUGUAGAUGUAGGUUUAUCUCCAUCGUAGCUUGCUUAGCAUGCAUAGAAGUUUUGAAUAUGUGGAUUAGUGUCUUACAAAAGUCUAGAGAACUUUCAGCCAAAAUACCAUCACAUAUUGUCCCUUCCCUGUUCCCUUCCUCUAUGAGAACACUCACUAAACACAUGCUACACUUUCUCACUGUAUCUUCCAUGUCUCUUCAUGAUUCUGUCCACAUUGUGCCUUUUUUAAAAUUUUCUGUAAUGCAUUCUGAAAUAUUUAUGAACUCUCACCAUGGCCAUGUCUAAUCUGAUGAGUUCAUUUUUGAGUUUUUAAUUUAAAAUACUAUAUAUAAACUACUUUUCAAAUUUACUACAUCAAUUUUUUAGUCUCCUAAAAAUAUAUUCAUUUUUUUUUAAUUUUUUGAAAGCAAAUGUGCUUUAUAAUCUAACAGUGAUAUUUCUACUAAUGAACCUUUGUGGAUCUGUUUGUACUCUUUUUCUGCUUUCCUUUCAAAUGGUGGAAUAUCAUUUCCUUGCGUACUUAGAUGCCUUUGAAUGACAAAGAUUUAUUUUUCUCUGAAAAUUAUUAUUGUGCACUUUUGCAUAUUAGAAGAAAAUUUGCCAAAGAGAAUUUGAAUUUUUUGUGAGUCUACUAAAGGCACCACCAUUCUGGGACCACAUUAUAUUAAUUCUUGGCCUAAAGGUGUUUGGACGUAUGUUUGGACAGCACAUUUAAACAAUUUUUAAAUUAAUUGCUGUAAAUCAUUAAUGAUUGAGUUGCUUUAAAUCUGUCCAAUCUCAAGUCAUUUUUAUUUGCCAUUUCCAGGGAAUGUGAAAUGAGACUAAUUUACCUCUGAUUCUUCUUUAGACUGAGGAUAUAAAUUUUGGUUCUAGCUUUAGGGAAGAGCUCCUGUGUGAUGCCCUAUCUUGGGAAACACUAUGUAUUUCUUUACUGUCCUAUGUGAUGUAUGACAGUAGGAAUCUGCAGUCAUUCAUUUUGCUACAUGUCCGUAGGGCAAAAUCAGUUUCAGUGUUUAGGUGUAUUUUGUCUGCUCCCUGCAUUCCCAUGGUUUUGACCUUAUAUUUUACUUUUUUUUUGUGAACGUACCAAUGCUUCAAUUUUUUUCCAGUAAUAUAAUCAACUAUACUAUAAGAGAAAAAUUUUGAUAAAACACAAAUUUCAUGUUUUCCUACUCUAAUUGGCUUUUACGUAAAAAUACAGGUAAAAUUUAUUUGUGCUUUUUUGCUAUUAUUUUUUGCUAUUCUCUGUUUGUCUAUGUCUUCACCACAUAGACACAAUUAGGGAAUUUUGUACACUCUUGUGCCAACUGCUUUGAUAGGAACAAAAUGUAUUUCUCGAACUCCUAGGUAUAAAACUCAAGUAUCCAUGAUUGAAAUUCUUUUUUGCUCACUUCUAUUAUGUUUCCAGUCUCAAUAGAAAUCGAUGCCAAUCCAGAAAUACAAGCAUUAUUCUAAUACUUCUCACACAUUACUGCAGGAGUGAGGACACAGCGAAAGUGAGACAAGGAAAAGAGAACAAAAUAAAACAGGAAAGAUAGAAAAGCCAAUACCACACGUGUUAAGAGUAACAAGCUCCCGUGCUGCUAGAGAAAGUCCUCAGCUAGAAACUGGUGCAAAUUCUGGAGAUGAGACCUUGUAGAGUGUUAAGAAUGGUUUUCUUCCCAGCAGCUACAGAUGAUCAAGAAGGACUGCAGAAAGGAGGAAACAGAAACAAACAGCACACCUCUUGGUUUAUUUGUAUUCAUUUCAUCAGUUUCAAGGAAAAUAUGUUGGGAGUUCCUCGCAUAGAGAAUGUCACAAAGACAUGUUUUCAAUAGUAGUGCUAUCCCUAGGGCAGAGAAGACCCAGAGAAAGCCCAAGUGGCUGCUGGAACACAGUCAGACACCGUGCCACCUGUCCACACUCCUUGGCUCUGCCAUCAUGCUGAAGAUCGCUUUAAAGGACUGGCUUCCCUCCCCCCAAAAUGAAUAGAGCACAGACUGAGAAACUGAAUGUGGGAGACAGCAGUGGAUUAUGCUGUUCUCAGGGGUCACCUCAGGUUUGGAAGCAUUCUUUCAAAUUAACCCAUCUCAGGCCAUCUGCAGAGAAGAAAGGUGGUACCUAACUUUUUUCUUGUCAGCAUUUGGUAGGGGUGUUUUAUUGACCAAAUAUGUUCCCACAACCUAGUUUUUUGUGAGUAACUAAAUAUAGUAGAGUUUUAAAUUUUAUCAUCAAAAUCUAUAGACAAUUUUUGAUGAAAAUAGACUCCAUCUCUAUGUCCUGCUUUUCUUCUUCUUAUUAAUUACAUUGCUGUAUAAAAGAACAAGACUUCAGAAUCAAGAAUAUCUUGUCUCUUGGCAUUGAAUUUAUACAAGGUGCUCUUUCUUUAAUGCUGUCUCAAAGGACAUAUUUUUACUCAUUAAAAAGGAAGAUCGGAAUCUAGUUGUAUGCGCUGCUCCAACAUAUUAAUAAUUAAAAUUAGGAGGUAAAUGUGGUCAAAACUAUAGAAAGACUGAGAUGUCAUUUAUAUUGAUUGCUGUAUAGCAUUCUACAAACAGAAAUUGUUAAAUAAGUUUAUAUAAAUAUUUUGUAGCAUUUCAAAUAUUUGAGUGCUUGACGUUUCUCCUCUUCUAUAGUUCAGAUUAUCAAUUUGAAGACUUACUCCGCUAGUUAAAAUGUUUUUAGUCUCGUUCGAGUAUUAUAUAAAAGCAAUUUUCAGUUAAAUGUGUUCCGCUUACAUACAACAUUACAAAUUAUUGAGGAUUUAAUUACUUAUUCAUGUUCCUGUAAUAUCUUUAGAAGAUUUUCUUAUUAUUACCUAUCAAUAUAUGUAUGCUUUGUCAAAGAAAAAUCAAACAUAUAUAUCAUUGAAAUUGAAACUUUUUAAAAGUACUUAUUAAUUCUAUUGAAAAACCACAUCCAUAGGAACAAUUACAAUAUAAUAUUGUGAACAUGUAAACAUAUACCCUAUGUCUAUUUUAUGUAUAAGCAUGUAUGAUUAAAAAUAUAGUGAAGAAUUUUUAAACCUAGUAUUAUAAAGUAAAAAUUAGUUAACUUCUGAUGAUUAUUUGUUAAUUAAGAUAAAAUUAUUUUGAUUUGGGUGAUUUUAAAUAAAGAAAAAUAUUAAAUUACAUGACAAAAAUUCUUUAUAAAAUGUUUAUGAUUUUUACAUUGGUUUUAUCACUUUUUCCACUAUUUUAUUUUAAGAUGACCUGCCUUGUUUAAAACACUGUAUUCAUCUUAAUUAAAUUAGAUUCCAUUUGUAAAAUAAUUAACAAAUGAUUUGCUCUAUUUUACAGUGCGGUUAUAAACUGAGUCAGUAUCUCAAGAUUUGAUCCCCAUUAUCAUCAUCUGUGGCCCUAUUUGUUUUAUAAAUGUAUUGUCUUUUUCCAUGCCUGUCACAUCUCUAUUGCUUUUUCAUUUUUCUCUUUGUCCCUUAUAGGGAGCAUUGCCUAUCUCUAGAUUAAGCAAAGGUUGCAUCAUAAAAAAGCACAAUAACCUGCUCAAUCUUUCUCACACAGAGAAAUGUUUGUUAAGUAAUUAAAGUGUAGAUGAUGAUACAAAGACCUUGAUUAAAUUAGAUAACAAAGUACCCUUGUGAUUCAGAAUAUGAAUGGUAUUUAAUUUCUUUGAAAUCAUUAAUUGCUGAGUGACAUUAAUUAAUGCCAAUUUUCCAGAAGAUGUUCUAGUUAAUGAAAUGUAUACAACGAAAAGCACAAUAACCUGCUCAAUCUUUCUCACACAGAGAAAUGUUUGUUAAGUAAUUAAACUGUAGAUGAUGAUACAAAGAGCUUGAUUAAAUAAGAUGCCAAAGUACCCUUGUGAUUCAGAAUAUGAAUGGUAUUUAAUUUCUUUGAAAUCAUUAAUUGCUGAGUGACAUUAAUUAAUGCCAAUAUUCCAGAAGAUGUUCUAGUGAGUGAAAUGUAUACAACGUGCAAAAGAUUCAGAACUCUGAAGGGCAACAUUAUUCUAUAAUUAAGAAUUAAGAAUUAAUUCACAUCAGUUAUUGGGGAGAAAUAAUUUUUAAGAAUUAAUGACUGAGAAAAUGUUAUUUUUUACUUAGAAAAUUAUUUUGUGCAUGAGCAUUACCGCAAGUUUUGCAAGAAACAUAAAUUUAAAGAAACAAUUAUGUGCACAAGAUGAAUUUAAUAACAUCUUGAUAUAUUCCAUGAUUGCGGUUUUAUUUGGUAAAUCUUUAAAUGCACACCAUUUAAUGAUAAUAAAUGAAUCUUGGAAAUCUUGUAGGUAAGGGUAAAUAUUAGGAUGCAUCCAGUUACAUUUACACACACAUACAUGCAUACAGACUGAUUCACGUGUGUAUAUAUAUAUAUAUGAAUUUACCAAUUGAUGUUAACUAAUAUUUAUAAGAGCCAGUUGGAUUGAUAUAUAUUGUUGAACCUGAAAAAUAUUUAUUAUAUACAUGUUUAAAAUACACACAGAAAUAAAUAGCAAUUGCACUAGGUAUUUGAAACUGUACUAAAAUAUAAGCUGUGAACAUUUUGUGAUCAUUACAAAUUCUUACACUGAAUAAAUAUGUUUAUUUUUACAAUAUUAAUAUGUUUGAUACCUGUGUACAUUUUUUACAAUGUGUUAUUUUAUUUUUGUCAUAGAGUCAUGUCAUGCAUAAUAACAUUUUAGUCAAAGAUGGAUUACAUAUACAAAAGUGGUCCCAUGAGAUUAUAAUAUAUAUUUUUACAUACUUUUCUACGUUUAAGUAUGUUUAGAUACAUAACCUCUUACCACUGUGCUCUUAUUGCCUGCAGUAUUCAGUAGAGUAAUGUAGUACACAGAUUUGUAGCCUAGGAGAAAGAGGCUAUACCAUAUAACCUAAACGUGGUAGGCUGUACAAUCUAGGUGUUUGUAAUAUUCUCUGUGAUGUUUGCAAAAUGAUGAAAUUGCCUAUGAAUACAUCUGUUAAAACGUAUCCCUAUCAUUCAGUGAUGUGUGACUGUACUAAAAUGCUCAAUGUAAGUUUCAAUGCCCUCCAUAAAAUUGUUGUACUGUGAAAUACAAAUCUCUCACCCAUGGCCUGAAUAUGUUUGCAAACUAAGCAGAUCAUGGGAAGGAGAAUGUGCUGGCAUCGCUGGGAUGAUUUUCUCACACUACAUGAAUAAUAUCUACAGACUUCGUGAAUAUGAGCCACUUGCAUAGAGUUAAAGUAGACGUCUCUUUGCUGGGAAAUUUAUCAAAUGGGAGUAUGAAGUGUUUUUACAAGAUACUUGUUUGUUUGUAGCUGGUAGGCCUACAGUGGCUCAUGGCAAUGGUUGAGGUUGCUAAGAUUUGGUGGAAGAAGGCAAAAUGAGAUGGCCACUUAUAUGGUAUAUGGAUCACUUGUUUCUGUUGAGUUACAAACUCAGCUGGCUAUUUCUCCAAUGUUAGUUAUUUGGAGAAAAAAAAACGUGAUGGUAAUUUUGGGGUAACAAAUACAAUAUUUGAUGAAAGCAAAUUUAUUGAGGGUUAGACAAACUACAAGAUACUUUAGGCUGCAAAGUCAACACGAGACUUCUGGCCCAAAUUGUGAAGAGUUUGCGUCCAGCUGCACAGUUCAAAGGAAGAGGCCAUGUAAGAAGAUUCUCACUUCUGACACCAACUGCCAGUUCAGGGGUUUCCCCUGAACACCCUCAGUUUCAAGAGUUUACUAGAAAGACUCACAGAACUCAUUGAAUGCCACUGUACUCAUGGUUUAUAAUAGAGAAAGGGUAGAAAUUAGGACCAAUAGAAGAGACAUAUCAUAUAAGGUGGAAUCUAGGAGAUUUUGAAUGUUAAGUUUCCAUUGUCUUCAGGACAUAUUACCUGUCACUGUUGUACAGCAACAAACAUGGAGUACUACCAACCUGGGGAGCUCACCUGAUGCUAACAAGACACUAUUUACAAAAUGAAAAGACAAAUGAAAGGAUGAGAUAAGAUGACGUUCCACAUUAAGGCACUGGAACGAUUAGCAAACUAAACCUAAAGCAAGCAGAAGGAAGAAAAUUAAAAUUAGAGAAAUUAAUAAUUUAUAACAAUAAUAUUUGUUAGUGUUGAAUAAUUGAUAUUACUUCUUGACUAGCUUUUUUAAAAAAGAGAAAUAUUCACUUCCCAAUUUAUUCUGUGGGGCCAGUGUUACUUUGAUACAAAAAUUAGUCCAAAUAGCAUAGAAAAAUAAAACUACUAUAAGUAUAAAUGCAAACUUCCUUAAAAAAUACUAACAAAUCAGAUCUAGCAACAUAUAAAAGAAUUAUACACUAUGACAAAGUGAAAUUUAUACAAGUAAUCCCAGGUUGGUUUAACAGCCCAAAAUCCAUUAAGGUAAUACAUCUUAUCCAUAGAAUAAGAAACGAGAAUUGCAUGAUCACGUCGAUAGAUUCGGAAAAGACAUUUAACAGAAUCCAAAUGCUUUAAUGACUAAAAAUAAAAAUAAAAACUCAAUGAACCAGGAAUAGAGAACUUUCUACACCUGAUAUAUGGCACCUGUGAAAAGCCAACAGCAAGCAUGCAACUUAAUGGUAAAGGAUGCUUUCCCGCUAUGGUGAGAGAUAUAUACUUUGAUAGGAUAUAUACUUUGACCUCUUCUAGUCAACACUGUACUAAAGAUUUUAUGCAGGGCAAAUCGGCAACUAAAAAAAUAAGAGUCACCCAUACUGAACAGGAAGAAAUAAAACUUUAUUUGAAAAUAACAUUCUUGUAUAUAGAAAAUUUUAAGGAAUCCACCGAACGAUAGAACUCGUAAAUUAUUUCAGCAAUAUUACAGCAAACAAGGUAAAUGUACAAAAAUCAAUUUCACACAUCUGCAAUGAAAACCCCAAAAUGAAUUUAAGAAAACACUUCAAUUUAAAAUAGCAUCAAAAAAAGAAAUAAUAAUUAAUUUGGAAAAUGUGAUACAAGAUUUUCCUCUGAAAAUUAAAAAUUAUUGUUUAAAGAAUAUUUAAAUAAUUAGCAAACACCUUACACCCAUGAAUUGGACUAUUUAAUAUUGUAGUACUUUACAAUUUGAACUACAGAUUUGAUGAAAUCCCUGCAAGUAUCCCAACAGACUUCUGUCUAGAAACUGACAAGCUGAUUCUAAAAUACACAUGGAAUUGUAAGGGACUCAAAAUAGCCAAAAUAAUCUUAAGAAAAGAAAACAUGUUAGGAUAAUUCACACCCCCAUGCUCCAAACCUUACUGCAAAGUAUCGGUAAUCAAGACAACACAAUACUGAUGAAGGAAAAAUAUAUAGAUUGAUGGAAGAUAAUUGAGAGUCCAUAUAUAAAACUAUGUGUCUACAGUCAAUGGAUUCUUACAGUGGUACCAUGUGCAAUUCAAUGAGGAAGAGACAGUCUUUGAACAAACUGGGUCAACAAAGUACACAUGGAUCACCACUUGCAAAAUAAUAAAUUCGAACCCUUACCCCAAAGCAUACAAAAAUAUUAACUCAAAUGAAUUAAAGACACACAUGCAAGAGGUAGAAUAAAGCAUAUGGGAAAGUCUUCAGGAUUUUGGAUCUAGCAAAGAAAUAGCUGUAACCCCAAAAACAUGAGCAACAAAAUAAAAAUUAGAUAUUUAAAAUUUCUUAAAAAUUAAAGACAUUGGUGUUUCAAAGGACAAACAAGCAAGUCAAAAGGCAGCUCAAAAAUUGUGAGAAGAUAUUUGAAAAACACGUAUCUAUAUGUCUGUAUAUAUAUAUGUAUCUUGAAUAUAGAAAAAUUGUUUUAACUCCGUCACAAAUAUCCCAACUCAAAACUGAUAAAUGAUAGGAAUAGAUGUGUUUCCCAAGAAGAUACACGAACGGUCAAUAAUCCCAUAAAAAUAUACUCAAUAGCAUCACUCAUCAGGCAACUACAAAUCAAAACCACAGUUAGAUACUCUAUGGGUAGAACUGGCCACCUUGGAAAAUAAUUUGAUGGCUUCUAAAUAUAUGAAACAUAGAAUUGUCAUAUGACCCAGAAAUUUAUUCCUAGGUAUACACCCAGAUUAUUGGAAAGAGGUGUUCAAACACAAAUUGUACACAAGUAUUUUUAGCAGCAGUAUUUAAAAUAGCCAAAGGCUGAACACAACUCAAAUGUCAAUAAAAAUAUUAUUGGAUAAACAAAAUGUUAUAUCCAAGAAAUUGAAUGUUAUACAGUUAUAAAAAGAAAUAAAGUACCAAUACGUACAUGAACCUUGAUAGCAUUAUGCCAACUGAAAGAAGCCAGGCAGAAAAGGCCACCUAUUGUAUGAUUCUAUUUAGAUGAAAACAGACUAGGAAAAUCUAUAGAGACAGAAAACAGAUUUGUGGUUGCUUAGGAUUGAGUAGGGGAUGGGUGCAUAGGAGGUUAACAGCUAGGGAAGGUGGGGUUUCUUUUUGAAGUGAUGAAAAUGCUCUAAAAUUCAUUGUGAUGAUGGCUCCACUUAUCUGUGCAUAUACUAAAAGCCACUGACUUGUAGACAUUAAUGUGUGCACUCUACACUAUGUAAAUUAUAUCUCAAUAAAUCCUUUCAAAAAUACACAGAAGAGUAAGGGGUUUUGGAAUGCUGCAGCUGGGAGGCAGUUUGAAAUACUGAAUAGGCCUCAUCGAGAAUGUGAAGUUUCAGUAAAGACUUGAGGAAGUUGAAUGAGCUGAUCAAUGGAUAUAUGGAGGGCUAUCUUUCCAAGCCAAGAAAUUAACUAGAGUCUUGACCAUAAGGCAGCAGCAUGUUGGCAUGUCCAGAGGACAGUGAGGUGGCCAGGACCACUGGUAAGAUCAAGGGUGAAGAUAUAAAAGAAUUUUGGCAGUUAACAUGUGGCAGAUGAUGAUGGGCUUGCAGAUCAUUGUAAGAAAUGUUGUUUUGGCCGGGCGCGGUGGCUCACGCCUGUAAUCCCAGCACUUUGGGAGGCCGAGGCGGGUGGAUCACGAGGUCAGGAGAUCGAGACCAUCCUGGCUAACAAGGUGAAACCCCGUCUCUACUAAAAAUACAAAAAAUUAGCCGGGCGUGGUAGCGGGCGCCUGUAGUCCCAGCUACUCGGGAGGCUGAGGCAGGAGAAUGGCGUGAACCCGGGAGGCGGAGCUUGCAGUGAGCCGAGAUCGCGCCACUGCACUCCAGCCUGGGCGACAGAGCGAGACUCCGUCUCAAAAAAAAAAAAAAAAAGAAAAAGAAAUGUUGUUUUUAGUGUACAUGAAAUGGGGAGACAAAUCAUUAUCCCAUUAUCAAUAUUUUAAUAAAUUGGAUCCAUGAACCAAAUCCAAUGAGAUUAAAUCAAUUAAUAAUAAUAUGCAAAUUUGUAUUAAAAUUAAAAGAAUUACUUGCACAUUUGAGAACAGGAGAGACAUGAUUUUUAUCAGCAAUAAUAAACAUUAUUAAUUUUAAUUGUGAUCAGCUAAUUGAGAUUAAUUGCAAUACAUCAUGCUUUAUAAUGUGACUGCCAAAAGGAAAAUAUGAUUGUAAUCUUAUACUACAUCUAUCAAUGUCUUUUAUACAUAAGAGUAUAGAGUAAGCCCGUAGUUUUCAAAGCCAACCUAUGAAGCAGUGACAUCUUAUGCAAGUUUGCUGCUUUCUGCCACAGUGAUCCUUGGUCAGCGGGCACAAAUUGUUUUACAAACGCCCCCUAGGUCUAAAAGUAGUUUGGAUCACAAUGAACACAGAAACACCUUCAUCCCUUCAGAAAUACCUAUCAAUUACUUCCAAUACAGAAUGAAAAAUUGACAAAGGAAAUAUGUGGAUUGUAAAAAUGCCAGUUAGCUUGCAACUACAUGAAAGAAAAAUGCCAUUUUUAUUACAUUAGGUCAUUGUUUCACAUGAGUUUUGGUAUAGCAAAAUGUUGAACCAAGGGAAAAGAGACAUGAAUUAAUGAAGUCUUAAGAUAUCAAGAAUUUGAAAGAAAAGGCAGGUCAUCUUUGAAGGUUAGUGACAUAGCAUUCAUCUUCUGUUGUCACCUUUCCUGUCAUUCCCUGUAUGCCUGAUGGACAGGUUUCACUCAAGUUCAGAGAACAGCAUGCAAAAUUAGCUAUCAAUUAAUCUUUAGGAAGUGAGCUGCAUUUCUAGCCAGACUGAGCUUACGUUUUAGCAGGAAGCAUUUUUGGGAAAUGUUUAUGUUAGAGUUGGCCCUUCUUGACAAGGUGAGACAUAAAUGUCUACUUUAUAGACAUGAAUUAAGAUGGGAAGAUAUUUGGGGGAAUCAUUUACUCAAACGCUAAAUAAUAAAGGUACACAAAGGGCAAAUUAUACUAGAUUUCUUUCCCACUUGUUUUCUAUGUCUCAUGCAAUUCACCUUGAUUCCCUUCAGUUUCUGUUUAAUGUAGAAAGUGGCAUUUUCAUUAUUUUAAGCUUCUAGCACAAUGAAAGAAUUUCUCUUUUUCAUGAACAGGAUCAUACAUGAAAAGGAGGAAGAGUGUCCUAUAUCAUAUUUAUUGUUCAACAAAACACUGCUCCACGGCUUAAAUUCAGUUUAAGAAAGAGAAUUUGUUGAACAUCUAACACAUACAUAAAAGGCAGUAAAGACACAUGAGAAGAGGGCAGGAUAUUGAAGUAUACAGACUUCAAUGCUGAGUUUUAUAUCUUAGGGAGUUACUCCACCUUACAGAGGCUCAAUUUCCCCUGAUUUAGGAAGGCGAUGCUAAUGGGUAUUGCAUAGGUGUAAGUAUAAAAAUGUUGUAUUGAAGAGAAUCCCACAAGCUUGGUAUAAGGCCGAAAAUAAAUUGAUGUGACAUGAAUAAGUAGUUUAUUACAUUUGUAUGCUACCUGCAGACUAGAGGAAGCAAGAAACACAGCCACUAUGCUUGAUUAGCAUUAUAGGGAUGGUACAAUGAUUGUUGCCAGAAGCUGGAGGGAGGAAGAAAUGGGGAAGUAUUGUUUAAUGGGUAUAGAGUUUCAGUUUUACAAGAUGAAACGAAUUAUGGAGAUGGAUGGUAGGGACGGCUGCACAAUGUUAUGACUAUAUUUAGUACCACUGAACUGUACACUUAAAAUGGUUAACCGAGUACAUUUUAUGUUAUGUGUAUUUUACCACAAUAAAAAAAUAAAAUACCUUAGGAACAUUUUCAUGAAAAAGCCCACAUAAAAUUCAUUUUAAUGCACGUGUUUAUGCAUAGCUUUCUAUUUUUCUCUUUUCCCUUUACAUUCCUAAUUCUAAUCAGAGAAGGGAAUCCCCUCUGUACCUCCAGGAUAUUCAGUAAAGACCACUGGAGGUUCAUGCCCUAGUGACAGUGCUCAUUUAGCUCCAAAUUACAGAUGGCUCUAGACUAACUCAACAAAGCUUAAAGAGAAGAUUUAAAACAACAACAGACAAAUACUCAUCCUGAAGUUACUGAACUGCCUGCCACAACAUUGUUCAAAGGUAGCCAAUCAAAUCUAGAUAUUCAAUAGCAUAACAUCAAAAUACCCAAAAAAAACUCUGAAAUGCAAAGAAGCCGUAAGAUAUAUAUAAUUAAGAUAUAUAUUAACAGGAUAAAAAUAAGUCAUUUAUAAAUGACAAAAAAGAAGGAAAUUUCAAGGUUCUUAAAGUAAAUAUAUUUUAUAAAUACAUAUAGAUAAAUACAUAUAUAUGUCAAGGUACUUAAAUGAAAAUUAAACAUAGGAGAAAAAUAGAAGUUAUAAAAUGAAAAAGUGACAUAUAUAGAUGAAAAAUAAAUAUUUGAAAUAAAAAUUCCAUGACAUAGAAUAAGUAAUGGAUUUUACCCUAACAUCAGAAAAUUUAUAGAACAAAUUAGAAGCAUUACAAACUAAAGGACAAAUGGUAAACUAAAAUAAGAAAACCAGAAACUCACUGAUACGUCAGACAAUAUGCAUCAGUGUAACAUACAUGUAAUCAACAUCUCAAAAAGGAUGGGUGGGGUAAUUAUAGGUGAAUAAAGAAUGGUACACUCAUUCCUGAGGGCACCGAGGAGGGAGGAUAGCUUUAGAUUUCUAAGGGAGGGUAUUAUCCAUUCAUGAAGGUCCAACCCCAUGACCAAACACCUCCCAGUGAGCCCCACCUGCAACAUUGGGGAUCAAAUUUUAACAUGAGUUUGGAAGGGGCAAGCAUUCAAACCAUAGCAAGAGUUAAAUUUCCUUUUUAAGAAAAUCACUGAUAUGAUUCCACUUCGCCAUAGAUAAAAACUAGUAUUUCAGCCUACCGUUGAGUGUGCUUAUAGCUCACCAAAAGGGCACUCUGUCUCGGGAAUACAGAUUUGCCUACAGGUAUCCUAUUGCAGUCAAAGAAAGAGCAAUGAGGGAUAGAAAAGGUUAGUGAUGGAGACACCAGCGCUGCAUUUUGCAACAAACAAUGUAAAAACUUUACGGAUUGGUUCUGCUAACUUACUACAGUUUACAUGCCUCUCAGGUGGGAGAAUUGUUGCGUUUUUUCUUAAGAUAGAAAAGCAAUUCAGAUAAUCUGAAAUCUCCACAAGAAGGAUAAGAAGCACAGCAGAAACUAUUCUAGGCAGGAAGUCAAUCCUUUCAACUGUCUGUGCUCCAUAGAAACAAUUGUCUGCACUGGGAGUCAUAUGAGGUACAGACAACAGCCAGACUUCUGAUCCUCUCAUUAGUGAUUUCAGAAGAAAUUACCAGUCAACUGAGUAACUCACUGAGUAUAGUAAACAUUUGGCACUGAAAGAGGUUAGACGGAUAACUAUUUGUAUCACCAUAUUCAUGAAGCUGGAAUAUUUUCCAUUACUGGUAUCACAUCCGAAUGGAAGAUGUUAAAAGGUCUCUCAUCAUGUAAGAUAGAUAUGAAAGAACAUUUUCUGAGAAAUGAAAUUAUUAACACACCUGUGAGGUGCAUGGAAGAGAAAAAAAGAAUAAUCACCUUGAGUUCUUCUCCUUGAUAAGAGAACUCACUAAAAACAUAAAGAGAAAAAUACAAGUUUAAAAUAAUUAACCAGAAGAAGACGACUCUAGAGAUUUUAAAUUGCUGAUAAGAUUUUAAUUUGCUCCAAGUUGAAAAUAAUUAUAUUGCUUGUGUUUUAAGGCACAUAAUGAGCAAUUAUAUCACACAUGAUAGUUUCAGCAGUAAAAUAUGAUCCG
rnacentral:lncRNA from 1 species